rnacentral:rRNA from 1 species
AUUGAACGCUGGCGGCAGGCUUAACACAUGCAAGUCGAGCGGGGUGAUGGUGCUUGCACUAUCACUUAGCGGCGGACGGGUGAGUAAUGCUUAGGAAUCUGCCUAUUAGUGGGGGACAACAUCUCGAAAGGGAUGCUAAUACCGCAUACGUCCUACGGGAGAAAGCAGGGGAUCACUUGUGACCUUGCGCUAAUAGAUGAGCCUAAGUCGGAUUAGCUAGUUGGUGGGGUAAAGGCCUACCAAGGCGACGAUCUGUAGCGGGUCUGAGAGGAUGAUCCGCCAAACUGGGACUGAGACACGGCCCAGACUCCUACGGGAGGCAGCAGUGGGGAAUAUUGGACAAUGGGGGGAACCCUGAUCCAGCCAUGCCGCGUGUGUGAAGAAGGCCUUAUGGUCGUAAAGCACUUUAAGCGAGGAGGAGGCUCUUUUGGUUAAUACCCAAGAUGAGUGGACGUUACUCGCAGAAUAAGCACCGGCUAACUCUGUGCCAGCAGCCGCGGUAA